AUUGAACGCUGGCGGCAUGCCUUACACAUGCAAGUCGAACGGUAACGCGGGGCAACCUGGCGACGAGUGGCGAACGGGUGAGUAAUACAUCGGAACGUGCCCAGUAGUGGGGGAUAGCCCGGCGAAAGCCGGAUUAAUACCGCAUACGACCCAAGGGUGAAAGCAGGGGAUCGCAAGACCUUGCGCUAUUGGAGCGGCCGAUGUCAGAUUAGGUAGUUGGUGGGGUAAAAGCCUACCAAGCCGACGAUCUGUAGCUGGUCUGAGAGGACGACCAGCCACACUGGGACUGAGACACGGCCCAGACUCCUACGGGAGGCAGCAGUGGGGAAUUUUGGACAAUGGGCGCAAGCCUGAUCCAGCCAUGCCGCGUGCGGGAAGAAGGCCU
rnacentral:rRNA from 1 species